rnacentral:lncRNA from 1 species
UAAAUGACUGGGAAUUAAAUGAUUGCCUUCCUUUGGUGCCUUAACAACGUCUGGAGUUCUGCAUUAUUCUGAAGACAUGUUGAAUUGACAAUUGAGUAAAAGGGAGAUUAUUUUUAAGUCCUACCACAGCCAUCUAUUGGCUAGGACUUCCACCUUUAAGUGUUUUCCGUGGAAUCAAAAAUGGAAAAGGAAUCUUAACUCCACAUC